AGCGGAUAGAGGACACGACCAAGAUGGCGGCGGUGUCUGGCUUGGUGCGGAGACCCCUUCGGGAGGUAGGCAGCAGCGCGCGGCCUGUAUUCCCACGCGACCCCUGCCCACCCUGCGUCCCGCCGUCAUCUUCCUCUCUCCCUGCCAGGUCUCCGGGCUGCUGAAGAGGCGCUUUCACUGGACCGCGCCGGCUGCGCUGCAGGUGACAGUUCGUGAUGCUAUAAAUCAGGGUAUGGAUGAGGAGCUGGAAAGAGAUGAGAAGGUAUUUCUGCUUGGAGAAGAAGUUGCCCAGUAUGAUGGGGCAUACAAGGUUAGUCGAGGGCUGUGGAAGAAAUAUGGAGACAAGAGGAUUAUUGACACUCCCAUAUCAGAGAUGGGCUUUGCUGGAAUUGCUGUAGGUGCAGCUAUGGCUGGGUUGCGGCCCAUUUGUGAAUUUAUGACCUUCAAUUUCUCCAUGCAAGCCAUUGACCAGGUUAUAAACUCAGCUGCCAAGACCUACUACAUGUCUGGUGGCCUUCAGCCUGUGCCUAUAGUCUUCAGAGGGCCCAAUGGUGCCUCAGCAGGUGUAGCUGCCCAGCACUCACAGUGCUUUGCUGCCUGGUAUGGGCACUGCCCAGGCUUAAAGGUGGUCAGUCCCUGGAAUUCAGAGGAUGCUAAAGGACUUAUUAAAUCAGCCAUUCGGGAUAACAAUCCAGUGGUGGUGCUAGAGAAUGAAUUGAUGUAUGGGGUUCCUUUUGAAUUUCCUCCGGAAGCUCAGUCAAAAGAUUUUCUGAUUCCUAUUGGAAAAGCCAAAAUAGAAAGGCAAGGAACACAUAUAACUGUGGUUUCCCAUUCAAGACCUGUGGGCCACUGCUUAGAAGCUGCAGCAGUGCUAUCUAAAGAAGGAGUUGAAUGUGAGGUGAUAAAUAUGCGUACCAUUAGACCAAUGGACAUGGAAACCAUAGAAGCCAGUGUCAUGAAGACAAAUCAUCUUGUAACUGUGGAAGGAGGCUGGCCACAGUUUGGAGUAGGAGCUGAAAUCUGUGCCAGGAUCAUGGAAGGUCCUGCGUUCAAUUUCCUGGAUGCUCCUGCUGUUCGUGUCACUGGUGCUGAUGUCCCUAUGCCUUAUGCAAAGAUUCUAGAGGACAACUCUAUACCUCAGGUCAAAGACAUCAUAUUUGCAAUAAAGAAAACAUUAAAUAUUUAGUUUGGACUUGAAUAUCAAGUCGUUGAAAUUUAUUUGAAAUACUUGCUGGCACUGCACCUGGAUUUGUACUGCAAGACCUGACUAUUCAUAACGGAAAACGAUUUCUAAAGCAACAGCAGGUAUUUUUGUACAGGGAAGUUUAAAUGUGUUUGUGUAUGGAAAACUCUCCACUCUCCUCCCCUAGAUGCCAUGCUUCCUUUUGUCUGUUACGGUUGCCAUGUUCUUUGAAUAACAAAUUAUAUAACAUUUUAUCCUCUCUCACCACAAGGACAAAGUAUGGAUGUGGCAGAGUCCUCAUGAAAGAUGUAUCCAAACAAGAUAACUUAUAUGUAUAAAAUUAAAGCAUAUAAUAUACAUUUACUGUUAGUUUGUUUUGAUAAGGAAUAAAGGAAUUUCUAACAUGA